rnacentral:rRNA from 1 species
UAGGGAAUCUUCCACAAUGGACGCAAGUCUGAUGGAGCAACGCCGCGUGAGUGAAGAAGGUUUUCGGAUCGUAAAGCUCUGUUGUUGGUGAAGAAGGACAGAGGUAGUAACUGGCCUUUAUUUGACGGUAAUCAACCAGAAAGUCACGGCUAACUACGUGCCAGCAGCCGCGGUAAUACGUAGGUGGCAAGCGUUGUCCGGAUUUAUUGGGCGUAAAGCGAGCGCAGGCGGAAGAAUAAGUCUGAUGUGAAAGCCCUCGGCUUAACCGAGGAACUGCAUCGGAAACUGUUUUUCUUGAGUGCAGAAGAGGAGAGUGGAAUUCCAUGUGUAGCGGUGGAAUGCGUAGAUAUAUGGAAGAACACCAGUGGCGAAGGCGACUCUCUGGUCUGCAACUGACGCUGAGGCUCGAAAGCAUGGGUAGCGAACAGG